GACCCCGUAGCUCAGCGGUAGAGCGUGAGAUUCCAGUGUUGUUUCCUCAAGGUCAUCCGUUCAAUCCGGGUCGGGGUCA
rnacentral:tRNA from 1 species